rnacentral:rRNA from 1 species
CAGUAGCCGCGGUAAUACAGAGGGUGCGAGCGUUAAUCGGAUUUACUGGGCGUAAAGGGCGCGUAGGCGGUUUAGUGAGUGUGAUGUGAAAGCCCCGGGCUUAACCUGGGAAGUGCAUCGCAAACGACUAAACUGGAGUAUAAGAGAGGGUGGCGGAAUUACCGGUGUAGCGGUGAAAUGCGUAGAGAUCGGAAGGAACGUCAAUGGCGAAGGCAGCCACCUGGCUUAAUACUGACGCUGAGGCGCGAAAGCGUGGGGAUCAGACAGGAUUAGAUACCCGAGUAGUCCCUGUCUCUUAUAA